AAACAAGAAAACUCCACCUGUAAGUUGAGAAUUAGGUUUUAUUAGGUGGCAUACUGAGGGCUUACACCCAGGCAGCAGCUUCGUAGACCGCUCUGAGGGACCGUUCCAAAGAGGUCAGUGAGGAAUGGGGAUGCAGAGAAAUUUUUGCAACAAAAACCAGAGAGUGGGAACAUCCAACAGUGACUGUUAUUUUAAGAAAAACCAGACAUCUCACAGGAAGGAAGGGAGUGCUUUUCUGUGUCUGGGAAGAUGCAGGGUUCUGGGUUCAGUGAAACCACUCCUUUCAUAGGCACCUCAGCUCCUUGGGGCCAGAGUCCUAUUUUUCCCCAACCCACCAUCCUUCCCCACAGGAGGCACUGCCCAGAGCAGCUGUGGUGGCUGCUGGCUUGAUGGCUGCAAGCGUGAUGGCUGCAAGCGUGUUUAUUUACGGGAAAGGUGAUAUUAAAAGGUAAUGCAUGUUGGAUUAAAAAAACCCAUUUGUAUUGAGAUGUCUUUCAACGCCCAGAAAACACACUGAUCAAUCCUGUGACUUUUGAGGAAUAUAUGGAAAGUUAAGACUCCCAUCAAAAUGUCUUCAUGUCCAAGAAACACGGGAUCUGAAUCACUAUCCAUAGAAAGAAGUUUCUCCCUGUGGAUGACAGCGGUGCCUCACCACGCAUCAAAUUGAAACCGUAAAUUUGUUCCUGAGCAGGACUCCACGGAGCCUUCGUAUGUCCUCUGCCUGCUUCCUGUCGGUAGAAAAGCUUUAGCCUCAGGACCCAGCCAUAAAAAAGAAUGACACCACCUCAUUCCUUGCAACAUGGGUGGACCUAGAGACCUUCAUGCUGAGACAUCCCUCUGACAGAGAAAGACAAAUACCGCAUGAUAUCACUCCUAUGUGAAAUGCAAUAAAAAUGACAUAAAAAACUUAUUGACAAAACAGAAACAGACCCAUAGAUUUCAAAAUAAAACUGAUGGUUAGCAAAGGGGAAAUGGGGGUGGGAAGGAAGGAUAAAUGAGGAGGUUGGGAUUAACUUUUAAUAGAUACACUGUAUAUAACAUGGGUAAGUAACAAAGAGUUGCUGUCUAACACAGGGAAUGCUAUUCGAUAUUCUGUAACCAUCAGCAUGGGAAAAGAACCUGAAAAAGAAUGGAUAUGCGUGUAUGUAAAAUAGUUUCACUUGGCCGUACACCUGAAAUUAACACAACAUUAUAAGUCAACUAUACUCCAAUAUUUUUUUAAAAAAAGAACAAAUAUCCAAGCAAAAAGAGGAUGCAAUUUGAAUUUGAAUUUGAAUCACUCUAAACAUAUUAAUACAGUAUUUCUGCUAGUUAAAA